UACGGAGGAUCCAAGCGUUAUUCGGAGUGACUGGGCGUAAAGAGCUGCGUGGGGGGUUUGUUAGGCAAAUAGUGAAAUCUUGUGGCUCAACCAUAAGGCUAUUAUUUGAACUGGCAGACUUGAGAAUAUGAGAGGUAGAUGGAAUUCCCAGUGUAGGAGUGAAAUCCGUAGAUAUUGGGAGGAACACCAAUGGCGUAGGCAGUCUCCUGGCAUAUUUCUGACGCUGAGGCACGAAAGCGUGGGGAGCGAACCGG
rnacentral:rRNA from 1 species